AUGCAUCUUGGAUUUCUCCAUUUUUGAAUUCAUGUCAUCCUGGACCCGUUCAGGAAAGUUCAUUGAUGGGUUGCCAAUUGCUUCAUUUGCUGCAGCACUUGUGUUUUUGAAGUGCUCUACCAAGCGCAGAAAUGUCACCUCCACUAUCGCACUGAGCGGAAGGCAUGUUAUCCCUUUCAAUACAGGGUCAUUCUUGUAUAUAUUUGAUAUAUCAGCGCCCAUGAUGCCGUACCUAGCUCCCUUUGUGUCAUGCACCAGUGA
rnacentral:rRNA from 1 species